rnacentral:rRNA from 1 species
GACAGAGGGGGCAAGCGUUGCUCGGAAUUACUGGGCGUAAAGGGCGCGUAGGCGGGAUGGCAAGUCGGUCGUGAAAUCCCUGGGCUCAACUCAGGGGGGUCGGCCGAUACUGCCAUUCUUGAGGGAUGCAGAGGAGACUGGAAUUCCCGGUGUAGCGGUGAAAUGUGUAGAGAUCGGGAGGAACACCGGUGGCGAAGGCGGGUCUCUGGGCAUUCCCUGACGCUGAGGCGCGAAAGCGUGGGGAGCAAACGGG